AAGCACUAGUUGUGAUGAUUAUAUUUAUCUUGUUUAAAAUAAAUAUCUUUCACAAUUUUCCACAAAACAGGUUUCCUUUGAAGAUGAUGAAAGCAUUCAAUGCAAGUUAGAACAGUUUAUUUCCGGUACGAAGCCAGGAUUCAGGCAAAGCAGAUCCCUGUUCUUGACAUGGUUAGAUUUCAAGGGAUGCGAGAUGCAACAUAUACCCCGAUAUCAAUCACCUCGAAAAGUGCAUCGCUUAAACGCGGCAAAUAAAUGAGUUACAAGGGGAAAUUCAGAAUUUGAAAGAAAAACUGGUAAAUAAAGACAGGCAGAUUGCAGAUAUGC